rnacentral:rRNA from 1 species
GACGUAGGGCGCGAGCGUUGUCCGGAUUUAUUGGGCGUAAAGAGCUCGUAGGCGGCUUGUUGCGUCAGCUGUGAAAACCCGCAGCUCAACUGUGGGCUUGCAGCUGAUACGGGCAGGCUAGAGUUCGGUAGGGGAGACUGGAAUUCCUGGUGUAGCGGUGAAAUGACGCAGAUAUCAGGAGGAACACCGAUGGCGAAGGCAGGUCUCUGGGCCGAUACUGACGCUGAGGAGCGAAAGCGUGGGGAGCGAACAGG